AUUGAACGCUGGCGGCAGGCUUAACACAUGCAAGUCGAGCGGGCGAGGUUGCUUCGGUAACUGAGCUAGCGGCGGACGGGUGAGUAAAGCUUAGGAAUCUGCCUAUUAGUGGGGGACAACAUUUCGAAAGGGAUGCUAAUACCGCAUACGUCCUACGGGAGAAAGCAGGGGAUCACUUGUGACCUUGCGCUAAUAGAUGAGCCUAAGUCGGAUUAGCUAGUUGGUGGGGUAAAGGCCUACCAAGGCGACGAUCUGUAGCGGGUCUGAGAGGAUGAUCCGCCACACUGGGACUGAGACACGGCCCAGACUCCUACGGGAGGCAGCAGUGGGGAAUAUUGGACAAUGGGGGGAACCCUGAUCCAGCCAUGCCGCGUGUGUGGAGAAGGCCUUUUGGUUGUAAAGCACUUUAAGCGAGGAGGAGGCUACCGAGAUUAAUACUCUUGGAUAGUGGACGUUACUCGCAGAAUAAGCACCGGCUAACUCUGUGCCAGCAGCCGCGGUAAUACAGAGGGUGCAAGCGUUAAUCGGAUUUACUGGGCGUAAAGCGCGCGUAGGUGGUUAAUUAAGUCAAAUGUGAAAUCCCCGAGCUUAACUUGGGAAUUGCAUUCGAUACUGGUUAGCUAGAGUAUGGGAGAGGAUGGUAGAAUUCCAGGUGUAGCGGUGAAAUGCGUAGAGAUCUGGAGGAAUACCGAUGGCGAAGGCAGCCAUCUGGCCUAAUACUGACACUGAGGUGCGAAAGCAUGGGGAGCAAACAGG
rnacentral:rRNA from 1 species